CGUUCGGGUCGCUGAGGGUCACCACAACCUGAGGGGAAGCACAAAGGUGACAUCAGCCUCGUAGCUUCUGAGUGACCACCAAAUACCAGGGACCACCAAAUGCUGGUGGGCUCACAUGGUGCCAGCAAGAGAAGUCACACACAGCUUCAGCCAGUGACAUCUAGCAAACAAGCUGAUGCUCACACAAACAAGUUGAUGCUAACAACAGAAGAUAUGAAAAAAAAUGAAGAGCUUAUUGGUCCAACUUCUUGAGUUUUUAAACCCAUCUUUGUGUUACCACACAUUUAUACAAUCAGCUCCAAAUCUUCCAACCACUCUUUUGUGAUGCUUUUUGAACCAAAAGAAGGAUUAUCCCUCUAAGUAGUGCCACCCAUCACCCUCCUCCUGCAGCUCACCUGUUGGAUGCUCUGUACAGCUGAAUUGGUCUCAUCUCCAACAUUCCCCGUGAAUUCACCUUCCUUCUCUGUGUAUUCACUGAAGGCAGGGUCCUCAGGCACUUGAGCUUCCUCCUCCUCACCUGACUUUUGUUUUUGUUCCUGGCCAUGUUUAGGAAC